GAGUAACGCGUGGGUAACCUGCCUCAUACAGGGGGAUAACAGUUAGAAAUGACUGCUAAUACCGCAUAAGCGCACAGUGCUGCAUGGCACAGUGUGAAAAACUCCGGUGGUAUGAGAUGGACCCGCGUCUGAUUAGCUAGUUGGUGGGGUAACGGCCUACCAAGGCGACGAUCAGUAGCCGGCCUGAGAGGGUGAACGGCCACAUUGGAACUGAGACACGGCCCAAACUCCUACGGGAGGCAGCAUG
rnacentral:rRNA from 1 species